rnacentral:rRNA from 1 species
GACAGAGGAUGCAAGCGUUGUCCGGAAUUAUUGGGCGUAAAGAGCUCGUAGGCGGUCUGUUGCGUCCGCUGUGAAAACCCGGGGCUUAACCCCUGGCUUGCAGUGGAUACGGACAGACUAGAGGUAGGUAGGGGAGAAUGGAAUUCCCGGUGUAGCGGUGAAAUGCGCAGAUAUCGGGAGGAACACCGGUGGCGAAGGCGGUUCUCUGGGCCUUACCUGACGCUGAGGAGCGAAAGCGUGGGGAGCGAACAGG